rnacentral:lncRNA from 1 species
ACUUCUCGUGGCCCGUUACGCCCGGGGCAGCCAAGCGCCGCGGGAGCAGCGCCGGGAUCGACCCUGGCUGCUGGGGGGACGCUUUGUCCCAAGAAAGCUGGUUUUUUGCCCCUUAGCUUCGUGGAACGCGGCCGCGAAAUUAGUGGUCUUCUGACCUGAGACUCGCGGGGCUGCGCACACGGGCAUCGCCGAGGACCCCAGCAAUGGACGUCGUGUCUGUGGUGAUCCCGCCAGGACGCGGGGAGCGUGGGCGGAAAUUAGUGUCCACGUUCCGACCCUGCGCUGUGCCAAACGCUGCUUCGGGAGCUGUUUAUUUAGCCUCCGACAGCUAAGCGAAUCGGCGGGCGGCUGGGGCCUGGUGCAACCCGAUUUUCUCGUGCAGACUCGCAGCCGGCUUUGGUUUUGUUUUUUGUUUUUUGUUUUUUUUUUGGAGCCAUGCAGAGGGUAGCUACAGCCAUUAAUUUAAGGAUGUAGAUAAGCUAUCUCUAAACCAAGAAAGAUCGACAUGCACUUGGAUCAUUGCAGUUUCUGGGCCUGCUGUCAUCUCCCCCUUCAGUACUUCCCACAUAUGACUACCAACUGUUAGACGAUGUGCUGCUGCCAGACCAGCCUUUCAUUUCUUGGACAUCCGGCUAUUUACCCAGGAAAAGUCAUCCUUUGACUAUUUUUCAUGACCUUUCUCAUCUGA